rnacentral:lncRNA from 1 species
AAGUUGGUCUUAUCUAAACAGCAAUGGAAUUCUAAUAUUGCACAUUCCUUUUACAGUCAAUUUUUCAGAUUAUCCACAGAUCCUAGAAUCAAGGGGAAAAUGUUCCACGGUGAUAGUAUGAUUUGAACAAUCCCAAUGCCACCACAUGACUUCUGAUUCACUGGCCGAGAAAAAAUAUUUCAUCUGACACUUGUCGAUAAUCAGUAGAUCAUGGGAUGUGAUCUCUAAAUUUCAAGUCAUAUAAUUAGCCAUCAAUUCAGAAUACUAUCAUAUAUAAUAGCUGUCCAUAAGGAUUUACACUGGAUGUACUAAAGCAUGAUUACGACAAUACGGAAAUCCAGAAAUAAAUCUAUAUGCCCUAUGGUUGUGAACAAGAGGGAGGAACCAACUAGAAUAAUGAUAUGAUGCAAAAAUUAAAACUUGCUUCUAUACUCAUUUCUGUUAUUGCUAGCAAGGAUCCUCCCAACAAUCACACUUCCGAACUAAUUAUCGAGUCAUCUUUGAUCUUGCAUAUAUAUUUCUUGUAUCACCAGCCAGAUCCUCUCAACAGUCACUUUUUCAAACAAUUAUUCAGUGAACGAUUGGGGAUUUCACAAUUCUAAAUAUAAAGGAUAAUCUACCAAAUGAAAUAAGAGAAAAUGAUACAUAUGCAACAUUAAACUUGCCUUGCCAUUAUCUACCACUAUCUUGACUUUUUUGCCCACUGGCGAUAUAGCAUUCUUUUUCAUUGCUUGCACCUUUCCAGACAGGUUUCUUUUAGCAAUUAGACUCUCCUCCUGUUACCACACAUAAUAGAGUCAAUAGCAUCCUCAAAUCAAAGAGAAACUGACAACCUAAAGCCACUUACCUCCUUUGGAUCUUUAAUCUGCUCAUUUGCAGCGUGGAUCCAUUUGGUUGGACUGUAAUUGCAAUAUGCUUAGCUGGUUUAUUUGCCUUCUUAAGCCGUUCAACGAUCUCAAGACCAGAAAUUGAUUUGGCAAGAGAUAAUCCUCCUUCCACUGGAGCUUUUGUUUUCUUUUUCUUUUUCUUCAGCUCGGCCUCAUCAUCUGCAAAACAUGGUAUGGUUGGCCACAUCAUUAAGUGUUAAUGUAUCAUUUUGGAAUACAACGAACAAAACAGAGAUAUACAGUAAUCACAUAAUUCUCUACUAAGGCAACGGUUUCAAUUCCAUUCGAGGAGCUUUGCUUAGCACAGUUAAACAGACAGUCCAAAUUUUUUUAGAGAAUCCAUAAGCUCCACAAAUUUCAUCAUCUGUAUUAACUGUGGGCCAUCAAAAACUAGAAAAAUCCAUUUCAUAAGAGGACUGCAUUUGUCAUAUGUUAUUGGUUAGCAGAUGUAUAAAUACAGCUAAUGCUCAAAAACUGCAAUCUUAUGUUACUUUAUAUAUAGAGAGUAUGUAUCAAAUAAAAUCAGGUAUAAACUAGUAAUCUUUUUACGUUUUAAAAGCAAUACAGAUUAUUUAUCAUGAAUUAAUAGACAAGGAAGAAUUAUCUGUAAGCAUAAUGUGUUGAUAUUUUCUGACUACUAAGCUUUCUCCAACAGUACCAACAUAUUAAAAAGGUUUUGGACUUACACAACAGAAAGAUUACUGACAUCAACCUAUUUAAGGUCUAUCCAUAUACAUAAUUCAAAAAAUAAUAUUAAAAACAAAAGGGCAUCCCCAAUCUGUAAUGAGUCUCCAGUAUAACCCACAAACGCUGACAGUUAAUUCUUCAGAGAAAAUUAAAAUAAGCAGUUAGAAAACAAAUAAUCCAUACCAUCCAUGAGUAGCCUGCAUAAUUCAGCCGCUUCAGCUGCUUCAUCUUCAAUUUCCUCUUCUGCCUGUACUUGGAUAGGACGCCUUCUCAUUUUAAGACCCUUAACACCUUCCACUUUGUCAUGCUUUGUAUCAUAAUUGCUCUCUUCUUCUUCAAAUUCCUCAGCAUCAAGAAAAUUUUCUAGAUCCCCAGCAAAUGAAUCCAGAUCACUAUGCUCAGAGUCACUUCCAAUUUCAUCGUCAUCAGCAGCUGAAAGAGACUGAACUUGUCUAUCCCAAAUCUCCUGACACUUUCCUCGGGUCUGUUGUUGCAGCUGAAGAAAUGACAUUCGCUGGCCACGUGCAUACUUGCUAAUAGUUGUUGGAUCAACCUGGACACCUGAUGCUGCUUGCUCACUUGAAAGCUUGCGAAUCAUAGCAAUACGAUGCCAUCUUGUCUGCUUUGCAAUCAUUUCCUCAGGCACAUUGAACUUAAGAAGAACCUGGUGAUAAAAAACGAUAAUGCUAUUACAUUGUUCUAAAUAUAUAGAGUUAUAAAUUUUAGGUUAUUUAUUAGAAAACACGGGAUUAAGUUUCCUACAGUAGGAAAUAAGUGAAAACAAUGAUGAUUUUUUUUUUUUGGGGCAGGGGACAGAAAAUUGUGGACCCAUUCAGAUAAAAGUAGAAAAUUUCAUUUUUUUCAUUCAAACUCACAUCAUAAGCUGUAGAAAAGAAGUAAAAAAGAUAAAAAUAAAAAACCUAAAUGACUGCAAUAAAUUGAAUUCAGACUUCAGAUAAACAUACAACCCGUAAAGGAUGAAGAGAUCUUUGUUUCAAUCUUCAGAAGUCCCCAAUUACAUUAGUUUUAGUUAGUGCUCUGACAUAAGAAAAAUACCUGUCACUUUCCUACACGAUUACAGGAUUUAUUAGAGACAGAACUACCAUUAUUGUUCCCUUACCUAUCAACUUAGGUUUUGGGAUUAAUAGUUCCUCAAAAGAAACAAAGUAAAGAGGUUACGUUGACAUGAUUUUACCAAUCCUAUGCAUUCCCAACUUCUGACACUCCAUCUGAUUGAUCAGCUCAAUAUAACUUAAGAGAGGUCAUUGAUUAAAUAGGGAGCAUAUUAUAUAUUAAAAUUUAAGAAACAAAAAUAGUAGAGUCCGCUCAUUUUUCUCCAUCAUAUCAAGGCAUGAUUGGACAGUACCAAUAUGAUUGAGGAAAAAGAAAAGAAAAAACUCCUAAAAAUCUCUUAACGAUGGAGUUCUUACACUAUCUACUACAAUCUGCCAUGUGAAGUUAUAAUGUAUGCGUGUUUGUUUGCAAGUUGGUCUUAUCUAAACAGCAAUGGAAUUCUAAUAUUGCACAUUCCUUUUACAGUCAAUUUUUCAGAUUAUCCACAGAUCCUAGAAUCAAGGGGAAAAUGUUCCACGGUGAUAGUAUGAUUUGAACAAUCCCAAUGCCACCACAUGACUUCUGAUUCACUGGCCGAGAAAAAAUAUUUCAUCUGACACUUGUCGAUAAUCAGUAGAUCAUGGGAUGUGAUCUCUAAAUUUCAAGUCAUAUAAUUAGCCAUCAAUUCAGAAUACUAUCAUAUAUAAUAGCUGUCCAUAAGGAUUUACACUGGAUGUACUAAAGCAUGAUUACGACAAUACGGAAAUCCAGAAAUAAAUCUAUAUGCCCUAUGGUUGUGAACAAGAGGGAGGAACCAACUAGAAUAAUGAUAUGAUGCAAAAAUUAAAACUUGCUUCUAUACUCAUUUCUGUUAUUGCUAGCAAGGAUCCUCCCAACAAUCACACUUCCGAACUAAUUAUCGAGUCAUCUUUGAUCUUGCAUAUAUAUUUCUUGUAUCACCAGCCAGAUCCUCUCAACAGUCACUUUUUCAAACAAUUAUUCAGUGAACGAUUGGGGAUUUCACAAUUCUAAAUAUAAAGGAUAAUCUACCAAAUGAAAUAAGAGAAAAUGAUACAUAUGCAACAUUAAACUUGCCUUGCCAUUAUCUACCACUAUCUUGACUUUUUUGCCCACUGGCGAUAUAGCAUUCUUUUUCAUUGCUUGCACCUUUCCAGACAGGUUUCUUUUAGCAAUUAGACUCUCCUCCUGUUACCACACAUAAUAGAGUCAAUAGCAUCCUCAAAUCAAAGAGAAACUGACAACCUAAA